rnacentral:rRNA from 1 species
UACAGAGGGGGCAAGCGUUAUUCGGAAUUAUUGGGCGUAAAGGGCGCGUAGGCGGCCUGGCAAGUGGAAGGUGAAAAUCCCUCGGCUUAACCGAGGAACUGCCUCCCAAACUGCUUGGCUCGAGACCGGGAGAGGUGAGUGGAAUUCCCAGUGUAGCGGUGAAAUGCGUAGAUAUUGGGAGGAACACCAGUGGCGAAGGCGGCUCACUGGACCGGUACUGACGCUGAUGCGCGAAAGCGUGGGGAGCAAACAGG